rnacentral:rRNA from 1 species
CGUGUAGGCGGUUUGUACAGUCAGAUGUGAAAUCCCCGGGCUUAACCUGGGAGCUGCAUUUGAGACGUGCAGACUAGAGUGUGAGAGAGGGUUGUGGAAUUCCCAGUGUAGAGGUGAAAUUCGUAGAUAUUGGGAAGAACACCGGUGGCGAAGGCGGCAACCUGGCUCAUUACUGACGCUGAGGCGCGAAAGCGUGGGGAGCAAACA